rnacentral:rRNA from 1 species
UAAGCCCCAGUAAACGGCGGCCGUAACUAUAACGGUCCUAAGGUAGCGAAAUUCCUUGUCGGGUAAGUUCCGACCCGCACGAAAGGCGUAACGAUUUGGGCACUGUCUCAACAACAGACUCGGUGAAAUUGUAAUUCCGGUGAAGAUGCCGGAUACCUGCGACAGGACGGAAAGACCCCAUGGAGCUUUACUGUAGCUUGACAUUGGGUCUUGGUACUACAUGUACAGGAUAGGUGGGAGGCUUUGAAACCAGGACGCCAGUUUUGGCGGAGCCAUCCUUGGGAUACCACCCUUGUAGUACUGGGACUCUAACCAUAGGCCAUGAAUCUGGUCUUGGGACACUGUCAGGUGGGCAGUUUGACUGGGGCGGUCGCCUCCCAAAAGGUAACGGAGGCGCUCAAAGGUUCUCUCAGUACGGUCGGAAAUCGUACGUAGAGUGUAAAGGCAAAAGAGAGCUUGAUUGCAAGACAUACAGGUCGAGCAAGGAUGAAAAUCGGACUUAGUGAUCCGGUGGUUCUGCGUGGAAGGGCCAUCGCUCAACGGAUAAAAGCUACCCUGGGGAUAACAGGCUUAUCUCCCCCAAGAGUCCACAUCGACGGGGAGGUUUGGCACCUCGAUGUCGGCUCAUCACAUCCUGGGGCUGUAGUAGGUCCCAAGGGUUGGGCUGUUCGCCCAUUAAAGUGGUACGCGAGCUGGGUUCAGAACGUCGUGAGACAGUUCGGUCCCUAUCCGUCGCAGGCGUAGGAAAUUUGAGAAGACCUGUCCUUAGUACGAGAGGACCGGGAUGGACG